AUUCUUAUAAAGUGAUUAUAACUCAAUAAAGAUAUAGUACAAAAAUUAUUAUCUUUCCUUAAUUAUCCCUAAUGCAAGUAAUAUAGAGGUAAAUUAUGUCAUAUAUUAAUAAUCAAAUGGAUAUUAAUGUCUUCAUCAAUCAUCCAAGUAAAUGACAAGUCGGGUAUGUUUUAACUGAAGAAGAAAUCAUCGAUGCAAUUAGACAAGAAGAGAAAGGGGGUAAUCCUGAGGAUGACAGUACAUAAAUAUAAAAAGUUUCAUACCAGGAAGUUACAAACAUACUUGAGAUGCUAGAAAUAUUUUGGCUUCAACAACAAGAUGCCAAUGCUAAUCAAUUAAUACAUACCCGCAAGUUGAAAAAUGUGGUUGCAACUUUAAAGAAGAAAUCAUUGUUACAACCAACUUUAAAAGAUAUUUUGUUCUAUCUUAAUUAUUUAAUGUAACAUGGCUUAUAUUUUUAAGAUAUUAUUAUCAUGUGGAGGUAAGUUUAUUUAAGACGAGACCUACAAAAAAUAUAAUUUGUUAUAAUGUGAAAAUUUUUCUUAAUUAUAACUGGUUCCAAGUUGAGAUCACAAUUUUUUAUUAUUAUGAAGAGAUUAUUCUUAUAUAAAGUAUUCCUAUUUGGAGGUUCUACUGUACUUAUUAUAGUCAAGGAUAUAAAGAUAUUAAAAAAAAAUGUUGUCCAUACAUUUGAGCAAGCCUUAAAGGUAUCAAGGCCUUUUCCUCAUUUGAAAUGAUUAUUAUUCACACUCAAUAUAGAUUUUUCAUUGACUGCAUGACACAAGAUCUUUCUAUUAUAUGUGAACCCAAAACAAAAUCCUCGUAUGAAACAAAUACUAUCUACUAAUGCACACAAAAAUGCCAGGGAGUAAUUAAUUAGAAAAUGGUUAUCAUCUUUUUACUACUCUAACUAUGCCAAAAUAACAAAUGACUGUAACGUAUCACUUAAUUAUUGAAAGUAACAUUUUUACAUGUUAGCUAAGGGAAAAAAAAUUACUACAUCUAUAUAUGUUAGUACUAUAGUUAGUCAAAUGAUGGCCACACACAUAUAAUCUUACCCAAAAUUGUAAUAUAAUAUAUAAUCUA
rnacentral:lncRNA from 1 species